rnacentral:rRNA from 1 species
UUCCUACGGGAGGCAGCAGUGAGGAAUAUUGGUCAAUGGGCGCGAGCCUGAACCAGCCAAGUCGCGUGAGGGAAGACGGUCCUAUGGAUUGUAAACCUCUUUUGUCGGGGAGCAAAAGACGCCACGCGCGGCGUUCCGAGAGUACCCGAAGAAAAAGCAUCGGCUAACUCCGUGCCAGCAGCCGCGGUAAUACGGCGGAUGCGAGCGUUAUCCGGAUUUAUUGGGGUUAAAGGGUGCGCAGGCGGAAGAUCAAGUCAGCGGUAAUAUUGAGAGGAUCAACCUCUUCGAGCCGUUGAAAAUGGUUU